AAAUCUUAUUCAAUUAAACUGCAAAUUUAAUAAAGAAUCUACAAUUCUAAGAUUUAAU
rnacentral:tRNA from 1 species